AACUCCUGGGCUCAAGUGAUCCUCCCACCUCAGCCUCCCAAAGUGUUGGGAUUACAGGUGUGAGCCACCUCGACUGACAUACAAGGAAACUUUACAUGCUGAAUUACAGAAAUACAAAAAUAUCACUUGGUCCCCUUUUCAGAGGGUAUGUGUUUGGGUGGGGAGGGGUUAUAGAGGACUGAAUCUGCUCCAGGUGUUGGACAUCUUCCUUGUCAGGCUUAGCCUGCGGAGACAUUUGGGUGUGUGAGAGAUCUGAACGGCGAUUUCUGCCUGGCCUUGCUGCCUGUCUUUCAGAGGAGAGUGGCCAGUCUCCAGCACUCAGAUUCCGGAGUCAGCUCCCCAGUACCUGUGUGCUGUGCCCACGGCACCUCAGCCUGCCCUGCCUCAGCGUCAGUCAUCUAUUUUCAUCUUCCUACUCACCCCUGGAAAUCGGGAUUGCUGCAGGGAUGGCCUCCCUAGAUAAAGAAAUUAAGGUUCAAAGGGGUUGAGUGCUCCACGGUCACACAGCAGUGAGUACUAGAGACAGGUUUGGGUCCCGGCAGUUCUGGCUCCAGGUCCAGACAGGGCUCUUUCCACAGGAACUCCAGUUUGGGGAUGACACAUGUAACUUUAUGUAGUUGUAUGUAUGUUUUUCUGUCUGAAAGAGAGAGAUCUGCAGACCUCCUCAAAGCUUGAGGGUGAGGGCUGAGGAGCCUGGGUAGGGGCCAAUGGUGAUUGCUAGCUCCUCCGGGGUUUCUGUCUGUGGGUGAGCUUGCUUCUGAGAUCUAAUUCAAGGCUUGCCUCCUGUGCCUGAGAUGGAGGCUUCAGUCUGGUCUUUUCUUGCCACUCUCGGGCUUAGGAGCCAGCUGUUUUCUAACCAUCACUCAGAUUUUUUUUAAAAAGCUCAGCUUGCUUAUGUGGUUUCUCAGGAUAGCCCGGUAUGGUGGAGCAGACUCUGGCCUUGAAGUUGGAGUGGUUGGUGUUGGAAGUUCAGCUGUGUCGCUUGCUACACGGUGGACCUUCGGCCAGGAUGAUCCAAGGGAGGUAUUCUUGUGUGCUAGUAAACAGAUCAGCUUGGGCAAAGCAAGAGCUGCUGAUUCAGAUGAACUAAAGUGAGGAUGCCUGUAGAGUUGCCUGUUCCUGCCUCAGAAAUGCAUGCUGACAACUGCUCCUUUGUGAUGGUGCGUGGUGGCCCAGGCCAUCUGGGGACCCACAAUUUUGGAUAAGCAGAAUCUCCAGCAUACCAGACAGACUGGGUUUGUUUAUAGUCGUUGAGCCCAGAGGCUGCCUGCCUGGUUAAAGUUGAUGUCGACCUUGCCCGCUCAGGCAAAGGUGCAUGUGUGCACAUACGUUUGCGCCCAGCAUUUUAGAAUUUGAGACUGUCUCCAUUCCCUUGUCUCUGGUGGAUACCACAGAUACACCUAGACCUUGGGCCUGUAGGUGUUCCUUCCAGCCCUAUGGUGUGUGGUUGGGUCUUUCCUUCCUGGGAGAAGCACUCUGAAACCCCACGCUCUUUCAUCCUGGUGUCAAAUCUCCUGUUCAUAGGAACCAUGGAAGCAUGUGGAAACUCUGUGGGAGGAGCCAUUUAUGCUAAUGUGGAUGGCCAUGGCAUUUGGCUUAUGCUUUCAAGCUUGUCCAACCCAUGGCCUGUGUGCCACUUGCAGCCCAAGAUGGCUUUGAAUGUGGCCCAACACAAAUUUGUAAACUUUCUUAAACAUUAGGACAUGUAUGCAUAGACUUUUUUUUUUUUUUUUUAGCUCAUCAGCUGUUGUUAGUGUUAGUGUAUUUUGUGUGGCCCAAGACAGUUCUUCUUCUACCAGUGUGGCCCAGAGAAGACAAAAGAUUAGACACUCCUGCUAGGUUCUUCUGCAUGAGGAGGGAGAGACCUCUGACUUUGGCAGCCCCCCGCCUCCACACCCCAGACACCCACACUGAGGCUAAGACAGUCCUGGGCUGCUUAGAGCCCCUGAGAGAUUCUUGUUUUGUCUUUCUCAUGGUUAUGAUUACUGAGAAAAUCUAUGUAGCACUAGUAUUGUUUUUAAAGCAUUUUGCAUACAUUUUUGGUGCUCACAAUGACCCUAAGAGAUCAGAGUAGUUCUGCUGAGGCUGAUUGGAGAACCUAAGUUUCUCUGACCAGAGCCCAAAAUGAGGACCUGCUCUCAGAUCCCCUGUUCUUUCCACUCCACUGCACUGUCCUUCCCAAAAUCGUUUCUGAGCUGGAGCCAGGAUGUGGUAUAGAUGUCUUUUUUGCUUAUAAUUUUAGUCAUAGCCAGUGAGGGGUAAAAUGAAAACCUGUGUGUGACGCCAUGGCUCACUUAGUACCUUCUUGCUGUUUUCUUACUAUUUUCCUACAUGAGCAUCCCAGUCUGAUGUAGUUGAACUCAUUUUCCAGGCCUGCUCUUUCCUGUCUGUGGUGUCAGAGACUUCAUUCAGCUGACCCUUGCUAAAGGGGGCCCUGGGCUUGGCUCUGAGCUCGACUCUGAGCUUAUAGAGGUGGAUUAGACCUGGCCCUGGCUCUAGGAGCCUGCCACCCAAGCAGGGCAGGCACACUUCUCCACCAUGAUAUAGUUUGGUAAGUGCUGGUAUAGGGAGAGACAGAACCCCAUGGAAUGUGGCUAUGUUUCCAUGUUGAGCCAUCACCCAGGGUGAGCAAGAGAGCCUCGGCCAGCUCCUUUGGGGAUGAGUACCAAGUAAGGGCCCUCAUACCUCCUUGGAGAGGAAACACAUAAGCCCCAGAGAAACUGAAUACAUAUGAGCCAGUGAGCUUGGUGGAUUCUACCAAGGUUUGAGGCCUGAAAAAAUGGUAGGAAAUCUGGAGGAAGGGGAGAAGGGAAGCAUCUGCCUUCUUCUACAGUGACGACAAAGAAACAUAGAAGGGGCCUGGGAAACCUGGAAGGCCAGGAUGCAGAUACCUCCAUUUAGGGCAUUUGGUCUUUUCUGUGAUUGUUUUUGCACACUUGGUCCCUGUGCCAUGGAGCUCACCAGCUUACAGCGUCUCAUCCACGAGACUCUGGAAUUAGUGCCAGAAAGGAAUGCCAGGAGAGGACUGUGGACAAGAAGGACCCUUAGAGGAUAGGGUGGAUUUUGCCAAGUGGAAAGAAUGAAGAAAGGGCCUCAGGUGUUGAGGCCAUCCACAGCCAAAACGGGGAAGAUGGCUGAGCAAGUGUGUGGAAGAGGCUCUUAGUCUGUGAUCUGUGAGCCUUCCUUGGCCUUGUGUUUGGGCUGCCCUGCUAUGCCUAGGGAGGGAACACUGCUGAGCCCCCUGCCCAUGUGCAUGCAGUGGGGGCUGGGAAAAGGGCUGGCUCUGAGGUGAUUGAUUCCCUUUGGGAGUCAGGAGUUGUGGGGGGAGGUCCACAUUUUUUCUUCCUCAUGGCAGAUGGUGCCAGAGGUGAAACAGCAGGGCAGGGUGUGGUAUGUCCUUCACUGCCCUUCAACAUCUGCCUCUGGUCCCUGUCCUUGGUUGCUCCAGGCUCCAGCCCCAGCACCCUUCUGGCCUCUGUGAGCAGCUCAGCCUCUGAGCAGUGCCUCCAGCCACGUGGGAUGGGCCUCACCCCACCCACUCUGCAUACCACCUGGCCCAAGGAGAAGGGUAGUGUGGGUUUGGCAUUUCAUAUCUUUGAAAACAGGAAACUCGGGGACCAGCAUUUUAGACCAACACUUGUGGCCCUCAGCAGGCUGUACUCACUCUCCCUGCGGUGUUUAUUUUUCUAAUUUGGAAGCCCAGCGAGACUCAGCCCAUUGGGAAACCCAGCUUCCUGGCAUUCACGCCUUGUCUCCAGAGAGGCUGGGAGGAGAGGGAAGAAUAGCUUUGCUGUAAGAGCUUGUUUAAACUCUUGGGCAGCUUUCAGAGGAUGUCCAGCCACUUGGCACCUCUCUGCCGCUGAGCCAACACUGUCUCAAGAGCACCCACUUGAAAACCCUUUUAAAAAUAAGUGCAGAUGAAAGAGAAACUGCUCAGGAGCCAGGAGCAGGGAGGUGGUUACCCUCAGGAGUUUGUUCCCCAGAUGGGAAGGGGAUUAAGAAACCCAGAGGUGCUGGUCUCUGGAAGAACAUGCCAGAAACAGGCUCUAUGGUGGGAGCAUGGCACCUGGUGCCUGAGGCCUAGGAUGCAGGGAGUACUCACUCUGCACUGUCUGCUUAUCUGCACUUUUAAAAUUGUGUAUUGGGAACAGGCAUUACCAAUUUAAAAAUAUAUAUUCUGCAUGUAUACUUAUAUGUAUAUUCAUGUGUAUUUUUAAAAGUGGUAACAGAGAGAGAGAAGCAGAGUGGCUAAUGGACUUGCUGGUACUUCUCUUGCUCUUUGUUACCUCCAUGUCCCUUUUGUGUCUCCUUUUCUUACCUUGCCCUCCUGGUCCCCAGGGAAAUUCUGGAACCAGGCCAGCAUGUCUGAGAUAUACCCAUUCCCAACAUGCCUGUGUUAGUAAGGCCCUUUGAAGUUGUGGAAAAGAGCAAGGGUGCAGACCAGUAUGAAUCCACACAUCGUCUGAGCCAGGCACAAUAUCUGUCUCAUGUAUUCUUUAUAAUAAACUUAUUUUGUACAGAAGGGAAACUAGAGGCUCCGAGUUAGCCAGUUUGACCAAGGUAGCUCAGCGGACUCAGGUCUGCAUUGCCACCAAAGUUCAUGCGAGGCUUUGAAAAGCACACAUCUUCUCCUUGGGCUACAAGUGAGCACCGUGGUGGAGGACUGUUUCCGGGUAGUCUUUGCUUCCAGGUUCUGGAAUCCAGGGGACAGCACACCUCCAGCCCAGCAGAGCUGCUCCUAUGCUUUCCCUGUCCUUCCAGCUGGUCAGCAAGAGCUUAGCCAGCACUGUGGUGUGAGUGUGAUCCAGCAAGGCCCCAACGCCCAGCCCUUCCUCCAGCAUCCACCUGCCAUUGCCCACUCUGCACUUUUUCAAGAACCCAAGGUAAAAUUAGUUAUAGAAGCUAGUGGAGAGGAAAGCUGGUGUGAACUAAGGAACUUUUUUUAUUUUUAUUUAUUUUUAUUUUUAGUUGUCAAAUGAUUCUUUAUUGAAAUAUCGUCCUUUGUGCUUCUAAGUAGCUGGGCACUCCACCGCACCACUGUUGAUGUCAUCUGUGAUGUCAUGAGGGUGGCGGCCACCAACUUGGCAGCCCACAGACUGGGCAGUCCCCAGAAUCCCUUUAAUGGUUCCAGAGAGUUGUCUGGUUAAAGGUCGGUGCUGUAUCUGUAGAGCAAUGUUGACAAUCUCAUCAAAGGUGGUAUUUCCGGCUGGGCACAGUGGCUCACGCCUGUGAGCCCACCCAGCACUUUGGGAGGCCGAGGCGGGGGGAUCACUUGAGGUGAGGAGUUAAAGACUAGUCUGGCCAACAUGGUGAAACCCCGUCUCCACUAAAAAUACAAAAAUUAGCCUGGCUUGGUGACACAUGCCUGUAGUCCCAUCUACUUGGGAGGCUGAGGCAGGAGAAUUGCUUGAACCCAGGAGUUGGAGACUGCAGUGAGCCGAGAUCACACCAUUGCACUCCAGCCUGGGCAACAGAGCGAGACUCUGUCUCCAAAAAAAAAAGUGGUAUUUCCGCUGUGUUUAACAUUUUUCUGUUUCUUUCUGUCUCACGGCAGUUCCUUGAGGGCUUUGAUGAUCAGGGCAGAGGCAGAA
rnacentral:lncRNA from 1 species